rnacentral:rRNA from 1 species
UACGGAGGGUGCAAGCGUUAUCCGGAUUCACUGGGUUGAAAGGGUGCGUAGGCGGGUAGGUAAGUCCGUGGUGAAAUCUCUGAGCUUAACUCAGGAACUGCCGUGGAUACUAUUUGCCUUGAAUAUUGUGGAGGUGAGCGGAAUAUGUCAUGUAGCGGUGAAAUGCUUAGAUAUGACAUAGAACACCAAUUGCGAAGGCAGCUCACUACACAAUGAUUGACGCUGAGGCACGAAAGCGUGGGGAUCAAACAGG